GCUGACGUAGCUCAGUUGGUAGAGCAUCGGUUUUGUAAACCGAUGGUCAGGGGUUCGAUUCCCCUCGUCAGCUCCA
rnacentral:tRNA from 1 species